rnacentral:rRNA from 1 species
AUAAUUGGAAUGAGUACAAUUUAAAUCCCUUAACGAGGAUCAAUUGGAGGGCAAGUCUGGUGCCAGCAGCCGCGGUAAUUCCAGCUCCAAUAGCGUAUAUUAAAGUUGUUGCCGUUAAAAAGCUCGUAGUCGAACUUCGGCUUCUGCCGCCCGGUCCGCCUUUUUGGGUGUGUACUGGAGCGGUGGAGGCUUACCUCGUGGUGAGCAAUCAUACCCUUCACUGGGCGUGGUUGGGAACCAUGAUUUUUACUUUGAAAAAAUUAGAGUGUUCAAAGCAGGCUUACGCCCGAAUACAUUAGCAUGGAAUAAUAAAAUAGGACGUGCGGUUCUAUUUUGUUGGUUUCUAGGAUCGCCGUAAUGAUUAAUAGGGAUAGUUGGGGGCAUUCGUAUUCAAUUGCUAGAGGUGAAAUUCUUGGAUUUAUUGAAGACGAACUACUGCGAAAGCAUUUGCCAAGGAUGUUUUCAUUGAUCAAGAACGAAGGUUAGGGGAUCGAAAACGAUCAGAUACCGUUGUAGUCUUAACAGUAAACGAUGCCGACUAGGGAUCGGACGAGGAUUUUUAAUGACUCGUUCGGCACCUGAAGAGAAAUCUUUAAGUCUAGGUUCGGGGGGGAGUAUGGUCGCAAGGCUGAAACUUAAAGGAAUUGACGGAAGGGCACCACCAGGUGUGGAGCCUGCGGCUUAAUUUGACUCAACACGGGGAAACUCACCAGGUCCAGACACGACAAGGAUUGACAGAUUGAUAGCUCUUUCUUGAUUUCGUGGUUGGUGGUGCAUGGCCGUUCUUAGUUGGUGGAGUGAUUUGUCUGGUUAAUUCCGAUAACGAACGAGACCUUAACCUGCUAAAUAGCCCGUCCGGCUUUGGCUGGUCGCUGGCUUCUUAGAGGGACUAUC